rfam:Bacteria symbiont BFo2 of Frankliniella occidentalis strain BFo2 contig098, whole genome shotgun sequence.
GCAGGUGAAUGCAACGUCAAGCGAUGGACGUUGUGCUCCACAUUGUCUUACAUUUUGAAUUAAAGCAUAGCGUAAUUGAUUCUCAUGACCCCGGCACCUAGGCAACUAGGGCCGGUUUUU